GUGCAGCCGCGGGACUUCCGCUCCCCUGGCCCAGCCUUCCAGGUUCUGAGCAGCGAGGUUCGGCGCUGCGCAAAAGGACCUCCCUGGGCGCUUCUGGGCGGCGCUGGGUGUUUGGGGAGAGGGGCUGCAGCCCGCAACACACGCCCCCGCCCCAGGCCCUCGGGAAACGGACCGCCCGCUUCUCCAGAAGGGGGUCCUCCAGCCCUCCCGAUAAGUAGACACGAGGAAUCCAAAGGCCCCCAAAACCAACUCCAAAAUGACUGAUGGCCUUUAUGACAGAGAUGUGGAGGAACAAAGCGGAAGCUGUUUUGAUGACGCAGGUCAUGGUCGAACUGAGAACCGCAGCGAGAUACUAACUCCUUUGAGAACAUUCAGAAGAAAACCCUGCGCUGAACCGGACAACGCCGGCGACACCGAGUGUCGGCCGGAGGGGACAGCGGAGCGGCCCGCGUUGCUGGUGGGGAUGCGGAGCGGCCCGCGUUGCCGGUGGGGAUGCGGAGCGGCGCUGGCCUUCGCAAAGCGGCUCAGCCAUUUCUUAGAAAGGUCGCUGCCUGGCACCCGUUCCUAGGU